AUGCUCGCUUCGGCAGCACAUAUACUAAGAUUGGAACGAUACAGAGAAGAUUAGCAUGGCCCCUGCGCAAAUACUGUACGUUAUCUGACUCAAGGGCUUCAGAUAAAA
ensembl:snRNA U6 U6 spliceosomal RNA